rnacentral:lncRNA from 1 species
ACCAUAGAAAACACAUAUAAUUUAUUAGAUGGACUUAAAAAUCAACACAAAUCAAUUUUAGGCACUUGUUGAGUACAGACUAUGGGAAUUCUCUACCAAAGAACAUAAUAUCUAGCAGGCAAGACCAUAAAGAUUCAAACUUUAGUUUUUAGAACAAUACACAAGGGCUAGACAAUUGGUAAGAUAUAUUGCAUAAUUAACCCAACUGUAUCCUGUUACAAUUUCUUCAUAACUCCAUACACAAUUUUAGGGUUUAAUAGAAGCAGUCAUUCUUUAGCAUACGAAGUUUUUAAAUUCUUUCUUUCCUUUACUCCACCAUUCCGGUCUUAAAUAUCACACAUUCUUUGCGGGAGCAUGAUAUAGAAGUACUAUUUUUACAUAAGCAGAACGGAUGUGGUUUAUGGUUUUAAGGAUGUGGGGAUGGCUUCAGGUUAAACACUACAUAUAUGAUUUGGUUUGU